rnacentral:rRNA from 1 species
CCUACUUGUGUCCGCCGUGGGGCCUCUUGCCCCCUGGGGGCCCCCCUGCUGCAGCGACGCCGCGUGAGUGAAGAAGUAUUUCGGUAUGUAAAGCUCUAUCAGCAGGGAAGAAGAAAGAUGGUACCUGACUAAGAAGCCCCGGCUAACUACGUGCCAGCAGCCGCGGUAAUACGUAGGGGGCAAGCGUUAUCCGGAUUUACUGGGUGUAAAGGGAGCGUAGACGGCUGUGCAAGUCUGAAGUGAAAGCCCAGGGCUCAACCCUGGGACUGCUUUGGAAACUGUGGAGCUAGAGUGCUGGAGAGGUAAGUGGAAUUCCUAGUGUAGCGGUGAAAUGCGUAGAUAUUAGGAGGAACACCAGUUGCGAAGGCGGCUCUCUGGACUGUAACUGACACUGAGGCACGAAAGCGUGGGGAGCAAACAGGAUUAGAUACCCGUGUAGUC